rnacentral:rRNA from 1 species
CAUAUGGUCGACCUGCAGGCGGCCGCGAAUUCACUAGUGAUUCGUAUUACCGCGGCUGCUGACACAUGAUCAAACGCAGCUGCUUCCGCGGCCGUCAUUACGUCCUGCCGAAAGAGCUUUACACCCCGAAGGGCUUCAUCGUCACGCGGCGUCGCUGCAUCAGGGUUGCCCCCAUUGUGCAAGAUUCCCCACUGCUGCCUCCCGUAGGAGUCUGGCCCGUGUUUCAGUGCCAGUGUGGCCGUGUGCCCUCUCAGGCCGGCUACCGAUCUAUGCCUUGGUAGGCUCUUACCCUACCAACUAGCUAAUCGGCCGCGGGCUCCUCCUUCAGCGCAUUGCUGCUUUCCUCUCUCGAGCUUAUGCGGUAUUAGCGCCGGUUUCCCAGCGUUAUUCCCCACUAAAGGGUAGAUCACCCACGUGUUACGCACCCGUACGCCACUGUACUUGCGAUAUUGCCCGCUUUCUCGUGGACUUGCAUUGUUAAGUGCGCCGCCAGCGUUGAUUCUGAGCCAUGAUCAAACUCUAAUCGAAUUCCCG